AUUAUUUCAUUUUCAGUGAGAAAAAUAAUUUCUGUGGCUACUGGUGACACCGAGCUUUGCAAUUAUUAAGAAGGUGCUGGCUGGGGAUUUAACUCAGUGGUUUCGCCACCUGCUGUGCAGGCGCAAGGACCUGAGUCUGAUCCCUGGUACCAAAAAACAAAGUGCUUGGUGAACAUAAUUAGACCAGAAAAAAAACUGUAUGGCGUAACAUUACAGAACAGUUACUUUUCACUCCAGGAGUAGGGGUGGUGGAGUGGUUAAGCUGACUAGCUCGAAAACCAGAUCUGGUGGGAGGGGUGCAAAUUCCACUGCACAUCGAGCAGCCACUGAUCUUGGUCAAUAUUCCUGUAUUCUCCAGGUCCUUGCCUGUAAAUAUGGAUGCUGAUGUUGUUAGGGUUGUUAUGAGGCUGAAAUAAAAUACAGUGGCACCUCGGUUCUCGAACUUACUCUGUUCCACCAUUCUGGAGAAGAUGGCUUGAGGUCAUGUUCCUCACCUGAUGCAAUGUUCUCAAAUGCAAGCAAAAUUUUGCUGAGCCCUUCUGUUGGUGAACAGAAUUGUUUUCAAACAGAAGAAUUUGCGAACUAAGAACUAAUAGAAAGUAAUUGAACACAAAAUCUGAGCAAGAAGAGUCAGAUGAAUUGAAUAUGUGACAUUUCAAGGCAUCAGGCUGUGACCGCCAUCUUACCAAAGGAACAGCCUUAGUACAGACAUUGGAGAACAUGAUGCCUCUGGACAGGACAGAAUGGAUACUACCUACCUUCACCCCACUGCCUUUCCUCAGUCUUGGCCUUCAGGGAUGACCAGGGCCCCUUCAGAUUGACCUAUUCUUCCUUCAGCUAAUGACAAGUAUAAUUAAGAAGUGUUUGAUGACUCCUGAACAGCUAGCUAUCUUUCAUGUCAAUCACAUUUCCCAUGAUCAGCACAGGAAGUGUGAAAAAGAAAAGCUAUUUUUGCUGAACUUAACUCUUUCAGAAGCAUUCAAAUUUGGUAGCAGUGAGUUCACUUUCUGAUACAUUCAGGAAAUGUCAGGAAAAAAACCCAGUCAUGAGUGUCUAUAACAUAAAUGAAGUUAUUGUAGACGUCACAUGGAAUCAUCCCACUCUAUCAUCAAAGUGCCAGAGUUGACAUCUUUGUAUCUGAGCUGCUAAAUAUAUUCUAUGACAGCAUGAAAGAAGAGAUAUCUGUAUGUCACCUGCCUUUCAGUCUGCAUUCUCCAGGGCUACAAGAGCUCCAGCUUUGCUUUCCAUCGCAGACCCUUCGGCCUCCUGAUACAGACCCUGACAGGACACUACAGUGAGCUCCAGAACUUUGACUGAAUUCUUUGGUCUCCAGUGUGUGGAGACACCCUCUGGACUCCUCCUCAUCUGACCCUGUGGGUAGCUAUUGAUCACAAGCAGGACUUUGAUGGAAUGACUUAGACCUGAUGUCAGCCUGAGAAGUGGGAGACACAAAAGACAGCUGUCUUUAAACUCUUGGCCACUCUGCUCUCUCCUUCACAGUGGCAUGAUCUCACCUUGUAGAGUAUAGCUCUUUUCCUACCUUUAAUUAGCCUGUAUUCACUCUGCAAACAUGUUUCUUUUCCUACCUUUAAUAAAUGUAAAACCUCACUAAAUUUUGCACUUGUCUUAUCCAAUUCUUUGUUCAGGACAGGAAGAACCUAGAAAGACUCUCUAUAAGGAGUCUCCAGAACACGAGAGGCCAGUAACAAAGCUACUUAUUAACAAACACAGAGGAAUUUUUAGACUCACUUUGCUUUUCCCACAUGGUGGGGGAGGAGUAGGUUAUUAUUUUAUGCUUUUGCUCUGUGUUGUU